UAGGGAAUCUUCCACAAUGGACGCAAGUCUGAUGGAGCAACGCCGCGUGAGUGAAGAAGGUUUUCGGAUCGUAAAGCUCUGUUGUUGGUGAAGAAGGAUAGAGGCAGUAACUGGUCUUUAUUUGACGGUAAUCAACCAGAAAGUCACGGCUAACUACGUGCCAGCAGCCGCGGUAAUACGUAGGUGGCAAGCGUUGUCCGGAUUUAUUGGGCGUAAAGCGAGCGCAGGCGGAAUGAUAAGUCUGAUGUGAAAGCCCACGGCUCAACCGUGGAACUGCAUCGGAAACUGUCAUUCUUGGGUGCAGAAGAGGAGAGUGGAAUUCCAUGUGUAGCGGUGGAAUGCGUAGAUAUAUGGAAGAACACCAGUGGCGAAGGCGGCUCUCUGGUCUGCAACUGACGCUGAGGCUCGAAAGCAUGGGUAGCGAACAGG
rnacentral:rRNA from 1 species